rnacentral:misc_RNA from 1 species
CGCUUGAACGUGUAAGCCGCCAUCAACAACACGACAGCCGCGAAGAAGUGCCAUUGCAUGUCGAACGCGUUUGCCCAUGCAACAGAGAAAAGCUUGCGGCUCAGCGCAUUGCACGUGAUCAGCAGGGCAUUUGCGAGCAGCGCCCAACGCACGACGUCGGCUAUCCGUUCGUUUAACCUGUCAAUGGACGCCGCGGCCUGAAGCAGUAUCCGC